AUGAACGCUGGCGGCGUGCCUAAUACAUGCAAGUCGCGCGAACAGACGAGGAGCUUGCUCCUCUGACGUUAGCGGCGGACGGGUGAGUAACACGUGGAUAACCUACCUAUAAGACUGGGAUAACUUCGGGAAACCGGAGCUAAUACCGGAUAAUAUAUUGAACCGCAUGGUUCAAUAGUGAAAGACGGUUUUGCUGUCACUUAUAGAUGGAUCCGCGCCGCAUUAGCUAGUUGGUAAGGUAACGGCUUACCAAGGCAACGAUGCGUAGCCGACCUGAGAGGGUGAUCGGCCACACUGGAACUGAGACACGGUCCAGACUCCUACGGGAGGCAGCAGUAGGGAAUCUUCAGCAAUGGGCGAAAGCCUGACGGAGCAACGCCGCGUGAGUGAUGAAGGUCUUCGGAUCGUAAAACUCUGUUAUUAGGGAAGAACAAAUGUGUAAGUAACUAUGCACGUCUUGACGGUACCUAAUCAGAAAGCCACGGCUAACUACGUG
rnacentral:rRNA from 1 species